UUGGGUUUGACCUUUUGCUAAAUGCUCAAGGACCUGUCAUCCUAUAAGAAGAAAAUAGAAUAAUAAAAGGGGCUUAGAUGUCUAUUAUCAUAGAAGUUAGGAGUUCUGUUAGAGAGCUCCUGGAUCUUGUUUGAUUUUUCAUUAAUUGCUUUGGUUUGUACUUAAGCUUUACCUCUGUUUGUACUUAUUUUUUCUUUAAAUCGAUCUGAUUCUGAACUUCGGAUCGAUUUGGAUCUGACUUUAAAUUGAUCAGUAUCUG
rnacentral:lncRNA from 1 species